AGAGUUUGAUCCUGGCUCAGAACGAACGCUGGCGGCAUGCCUAACACAUGCAAGUCGAACGCUUGCCGGGCUUCGGUCCGGCAGGAGUGGCGCACGGGUGAGUAGCGCGUGGGAACCUGCCCUGUUGUGGGGGAUAACCGAGGGAAACUUCGGCUAAUACCGCAUACGCCCCUGGAGUUGAUCCGGGGGGAAAGAUUGAUCGCAGCAGGAGGGGCCCGCGUCGGAUUAGCUAGUUGGUGGGGUAACGGCCUACCAAGGCACCGAUCCGUAGCUGGUCUGAGAGGAUGAUCAGCCACACUGGGACUGAGACACGGCCCAGACUCCUACGGGAGGCAGCAGUGGGGAAUAUUGGACAAUGGGCGCAAGCCUGAUCCAGCAAUGCCGCGUGAGUGAUGAAGGCCUUAGGGUUGUAAAGCUCUUUCGGCGGGGACGAUGAUGACGGUACCCGCAGAAGAAGCCCCGGCUAACUUCGUGCCAGCAGCCGCGGUAAUACGAAGGGGGCGAGCGUUGUUCGGAUUUACUGGGCGUAAAGGGCGCGUAGGCGGCUCUUCAAGUCAGGCGUGAAAGCCCCGGGCUCAACCUGGGAAUGGCGCUUGGGACUGGAGGGCUCGAGUUCGGGAGAGGAGAGUGGAAUUCCCAGUGUAGAGGUGAAAUUCGUAGAUAUUGGGAAGAACACCGGUGGCGAAGGCGGCUCUCUGGACCGAGACUGACGCUGAGGCGCGAAAGCGUGGGGAGCAAACAGGAUUAGAUACCCUAGUAGUCC
rnacentral:rRNA from 1 species